rnacentral:tRNA from 1 species
GGUGACUCAGUGGUAGAGUGCUUGCCUUGCAUGCAUAAGGCCCUGAGUUCGAUUCCUCAGCACCA